AGUGAACGCUGGCGGCGUGCUUAACACAUGCAAGUCGAACGAGAACGGAUUAUAGCUUGCUAUAAUUGUCAGCUAAGUGGCGCACGGGUGAGUAAUGUAUAGGUAAUAUGCCUCUUACUAAGGGAUAACAAAUGGAAACGUUUGCUAAUACCUUAUACUCCUUAUUAACAGAAGUUAAGAAGGGAAAGAUUUAUUGGUAAGAGAUUAGCCUGUAUUGUAUCAGUUAGUUGGUGGGGUAAUGGCUUACCAAGACUAUGACACAUAACUGGUUUGAGAGGAUGAUCAGUCACACUGGAACUGAGACACGGUCCAGACUCCUACGGGAUGCAGCAGUGGGGAAUAUUGCACAAUGGACGAAAGUCUGAUGCAGCAACGCCGCGUGGAGGAUGACACAUUUCGGUGCGUAAACUCCUUUUAUAUGAGAAGAUAAUGACGGUAUUAUAUGAAUAAGCACCGGCUAACUCCGUGCCAGCCGCCGCAGUAA
rnacentral:rRNA from 1 species